rnacentral:misc_RNA from 1 species
AUCAAGAAAUGGAGGACACCUCAAAGAAAGGGUUAGAGUGGACUGGUCUGCAACUCCCAGUGAAUCGCCAUGGCAACCUGAAGAGUGCUUCCUCUGAUCAAAAGCUCCUCGAAUUUCUUCGUGAUAUUAGAGUUUCCAAGACACCUGCAGUUAUCAACUAUGGUGCCUCAUGGUGUGGGGUGUGCAGCCAAAUCCUCCCUGCAUUUUGCCAGCUAAGUAACAACUUCCCCAAGCAGUCCUUCAUAUAUGCAGAUAUUGAUGAAUGCCCAGAAACAACACAGCAUAUUCGUUACACCCCUACAUUUCAUUUUUAUCGUGAUGGGGAAAGGGUUGAUGAAAUGUUUGGUGCUGGAGAAGAGCGACUGCAUGAUCGAUUGUGGCUGCACUCCUGAAAUCUUGUCCUAGGGUUUCUUAUUUAUUAACAUGUAGAUGCAGGGACUAUCUGGUGGGAGAAUGUACUCUGCAAUUGUCAAAUUGUGUGAAAUACAGCACUGCUUUGUGCAUUCCAGUUAUGAUUAUCUGAUUGUCAGAUAUUCCUGCUUCUUGAUAGUAGUAUGUAUUGAAGGUAUUAAUCUUUUUGCAACUACAAUUUAUUUCUCUGCACAAAG